rnacentral:rRNA from 1 species
UAAUUGGAGAGUUUGAUCCUGGCUCAGAAUGAACGCUGGCGGCGUGCUUAACACAUGCAAGUCGCACGAGAACGCUUUAGCUUGCUAGAGCUAGUAAAGUGGCGCACGGGUGAGUAACGCGUGGGUAAUCUACCCCUGAAUUUGGGAUAACAUUGCGAAAGCGAUGCUAAUACCGGAUAAUAUCAUAAUAAUUGCGGUUAUUAUGAUCAAAGGUGGCCUCUAUAUAUAAGCUACUGUUUGGGGAUGAGCCCGCGUACCAUUAGCUUGUUGGUAGGGUAAUGGCCUACCAAGGCAACGAUGGUUAGCUGGUCUGAGAGGAUGAUCAGCCACACUGGAACUGACACACGGUCCAGACU